rnacentral:rRNA from 1 species
AGCAGUGGGACGUCGAGGCAGAAGCGGCCGCGGAAGGCCGACCAGCCGCAGAAGUCGUCCACGCAAAGGAUGGCCGGGGACAACGAGAAGUUCCUGGCCACGGCCGCCAUGUGCAGCGCCGAGGCGCCCAGGAACGCGCCCAGCUCCACGAACACGUCCGGGUGCACCUCCUCGAUGAGCUCUGUGAACACCGCCCCCGUCAACCCCUAG